UUGCUGGGGAUUUAGCUGGUAGAGUGCUUGCCUCACAUGCACAAAGCCCUGUGUUCAAUCCCCAGCAUUAAA
rnacentral:tRNA from 1 species